CUCAAGCUCGAAACAACCUUAUUUCAUAUUUGAAAACAUAUAAUAGGAUUUUCUUGUCACGACCCAAAUUUCGGCCCAUGACCGGCGCAUGGCCCAAUGGACAUAGCCUAUUAAGCCCAAGUAAGCCAAUCUAUAUGACCUGUUCGUCAUUUCAUCAAAAGUUGCUAAAGUUAUAUUUCAUAAUUCCCAUUCAAUAUAAUGCUAACCAUGGCCAUCUCAUAGUGGCAUUACCAAUCAAAAUAUACAUAUAUUGUCUAAACCAUAUAUCUUAAUAAUUUACAUCGGGUUUGUCUAUACACAACAAAGGGAUACUCGACUUCCAGCGGAGAGACUCGGGCUAUUGGAUGCCGAGAUACCUACCAAGGAGACGAAUAUACGGGGACACCUUGACCUAGUUACUAACUACCUCCUAAUCUGAAAACAUGAAGUUGAAAACAGUGAGUAUAAACCCAGUGAGUGAAUAAAGGAAGGGAACAAGCAAUCGAUAAGAGAAGUUAAGAAAUCAUAAUGCUCUUAUUUUCAAAAACAAUGCAAUUUAGUUAAAUUUUUAUUAAAACCUCUCAUUAAACCCUUAAUUGGUUAAUCACUUGAUGAUAAAGGAUCCAUACAUAAUAAAGAAUUUGAAGAGUGAAAACUUUAAUAGCAUUCAAGCAAGUCAAGUGAAAUGACGGGUCCUCGCUGCAGUGGAAAGACAUCCUCGCUGCAACGAGUUGCAGUGAAAUUUCGGCUCAAUUUAUCAGUUGGCUGAGGGUUUUCUUAACUGGUUGAGAGUUUCUCAACUGGCUAAGGGUUUCUCACUAAAACCCCUCAUUUCAAACUUAAUUAAAUAAAUUCCUUGAUGUUGGGAGUCCAUCAUCAACUAUGGUGCUAAAGAAAUGGAAAAUAGGGCAGCAAACAAACAGGGUAUCAAGCAAAACAAAAUAUUUCUCGCUGCAACGAGAACUAGGCCAGUGUAACCCUCCAAACCCGAGAGUUUCUCGCUGCAGCUAGAAACAGAGCAAUUUAGUUAAAGGGGUCUUGUUACCUCAAAAAGCCAUUUUCUUGCUGAAUGAAAAGCAAUUUGGUAGUAAUUAACAAUGCCAACAUGCAACACAAUCACAAAUAUUUUCAUAACUUUCUAUAACACACACACACACACACACACACACACACACACACACACACACACACAUAUAUAUAUACAUACAUACAUCAUCCAUACCAUCCCGCCACACUUAGCUCAACGCAAUAUCAUCAUCAUGUGUGCCCUCCCUACUCACACACUUCAACAUCAUCACACAACAUUAUUCAUCAAUGCACAACAUAUAUUCAUAUAUAUACAUGCCAACAUAAUAUAGGAGCACAUGGAUUCAUCAUUUUACACAUUUCACAUUUUCAUAACAUCAAAACAUUUUAUCAAGGGCUUGUUCCCCGGCACACAUUUUUAAAGAAAGGUUGGAUAAAAUCAUUCAAAUGUUUGAUCCAAAUACAUUUACAUUUUCCAAAGAAAUUUUGAAAUACAAGUUCACUCACCGGUAUUCAUUAAAUCUCUACUCAACUCCAACUUCCUCUAAUGGUCCAAAUGGGCGGUGGGGCUUCGUUGGAACCUAUCAUCACAUUAGCAUCACAAUUAACUCAAUUCACAUAACUAUAAAUUUUGAAAGCUAUCUCCUAACUAGCUUCCAAUUGCCGUUAAGUGGCCACCUAUUUUCACUAUCCUAAUCACUCUAAAAUGAAUGAAUAACCUCAACUACCAAACACUCACAAGUCUAAUCACUAGCCAUUCUUAACACUUAAAAAUCAACUCCAAUUCACUACUCACCUUGGUAGCUUUGUAAUUUAGAAUUCUUUCUAAAAAUUUUUAAGCUAUUGUAAAAGCUCUUUUUUUCUCUCUCUAAAACACCUAGCUAGUGAGAGUAAGUAUGGAAGUAAGACUUUUCAAGGGUUUUAAAGUGAGAAAGUGAAAAAGCACAAAAGGUUCUAUGGAAGGGUGCACAAAAGCAUGAAAAUUGGAGCUAGCUUGAGAGAAGUUAUGGAGGUUUCAAAACAAGCUUCCAUGGAGGAUGAAAGGAACGUGAGAUGGGAGGAAAAAGAAAAAG
rnacentral:lncRNA from 1 species